rnacentral:rRNA from 1 species
GACGAACGCUGGCGGCGUGCCUAAUACAUGCAAGUCGAGCGGAAGUUGAAGAGCUUGCUCUUCAACUUUAGCGGCGGACGGGUGAGUAACACGUGGGCAACCUGCCCUGCAGAUCGGGAUAACUCCGGGAAACCGGUGCUAAUACCGAAUAGUUUUCGCCACCUCCUGGUGGCGUACGGAAAGACGGUUUCGGCUGUCACUGCAGGAUGGGCCCGCGGCGCAUUAGCUAGUUGGUGGGGUAACGGCCCACCAAGGCAACGAUGCGUAGCCGACCUGAGAGGGUGAUCGGCCACACUGGGACUGAGACACGGCCCAGACUCCUACGGGAGGCAGCAGUAGGGAAUCUUCCGCAAUGGACGAAAGUCUGACGGAGCAACGCCGCGUGAGUGACGAAGGUUUUCGGAUCGUAAAACUCUGUUGUGAGGGAAGAACAAGUACCACUUGACUACUGGUACCUUGACGGUACCUCACCAGAAAGCCACGGCUAACUACGUGCCAGCCGCCGCGGUAAUAC